rnacentral:rRNA from 1 species
AUGAAGGAUGCUGCUGUGAGCCAUGCCACACCAUCAGCAAGCGUUGAAGUGGACACUCCCGAGACCAACCUAAGCAAGGAAGAUUCCCGCUCAUCUGACACUGAUUCCAAGUGCGUGCGUGGUGGCACUCCUGUGUCCACGACAGAAGCGGCUGAGGCGGCAGUUCACAAUGAUAUGCCAUCUACAAGUGAGAGUCUUGGCAUAACAGCUCCAGCUCCUGUCGGUGCAGAUACUGCUAAGGCGACCGUUUCGCGUGCUGGUCUUCCACCUAGGCGUCGUAGCCCCUGCAAGCAAUCAACAGCCAUACCCAACGCACCAGCUGUAGCUAGGAGCAGCAGAGACGAGUCUGGUUAUGUCCCUGCGUCCACACUGUUCCCCCCACCUACCAAAAGCAAUGUGAUGGAGAAACCGAAAGACCGGAGCACAACUAAUGCAGGUGUCAAGCCGGGCACGAGUGACGUAGGUGAACGUCCGGAGCAGAGUGCGCCUUUACCUGCAGUGGAAAUCCCCAGCUUAAAUCUGCGCACUUCCAAGCUCCCAGUCAAUGUGGGUGUCCCAUACAGCCCAAACAAGAAGAUUGUCAAGAAAGCUGCGGCCGAUACCGCUGACAACAUGCCCCGCCCUACAAACAAGCCCGAUGAUUCUGCAGCGACCGAUGCAGAUAUGUUUGUUAAUCUUUCACCCUUGGAUUCUUCCCCGCAAGUUGUUUGA